CAGAAAAGGUAAAGGUAGGGUAGAAAAGUAGAUUGCUAGGAUAGUGUUCAUUGAGGGCUUAGUGUUUUGUUUUGAUGACAGUUUCAGGAGAGGAAUCGGGGUGCAGGGAGGGAAAGCUGUUCACAGUUUAAUUGAUAUGCUUUUCUAAAGAAGUAAGUUUUCAAAGAUUCUGUGAAGGAGUGGAGAGUGGGUGAAAGUCUAAC